rnacentral:rRNA from 1 species
CCUACGGGUGGCAGCAGUGAGGAAUAUUGGGCAAUGGGCGCUAGCCUGAACCAGCCAAGUAGCGUGAAGGAUGACUGCCCUAUGGGUUGUAAACUUCUUUUAUAUGGGAAUAAAGUGCAGUAUGUAUACUGCUUUGCAUGUACCUUAUGAAUAAGGAUCGGCUAACUCCGUGCCAGCAGCCGCGGUAAUACGGAGGAUCCGAGCGUUUUCCGGAUUUAUUGGGUUGAAAGGAAGCGUAGGCGGGUCGUUAAGGCAGUUGUGAAAGUUGGGGGCUUAACCCUAAAAUUGCAGUUGAUACUGGAAGCCUUGAGUACCGGAGAGGUAGUCGGAAUUCGUGGUGUAGCGGUGAAAUGCGUAGAUAUAAGGAAGAACACCGAUGGCGAAGGCAGACUGCUGGACUGUAACUGACGCUGAGGCUCGAAAGUGUGGGGAUCAAACAGGAUUAGAUACCCGAGUAGUC